CCAAGUACUUCACGAGCUAUUCCAGGAACAUCAUAUCAAAGUUCCUCUCUCCCAUCCGACGACAACACUCUAGCAGAGUUAGAGAGAAACAUUGUUACAAUGGAAAGGUCCCUUAAACUGAAACAAGAUACAAUAAUUGAUGUAGAAGAUGUGGAUGAUUCGCAAACUGGAAAAAUCAAGUCUGUCGGGAAACGCCUUCUUCGCGGGCUGUCUAUGAGCGCCUCAACCUCCAAGAGUCCCUCGCCCCAAUCGUCA
rnacentral:misc_RNA from 1 species